rnacentral:lncRNA from 1 species
GCCUUAUGUAUCCGUCCUUGUCUCUGGAAAUACACAAGUUGUCAACAUCCGUUUUCUCUAACUUUUCCUGGAAAUUGACCGCUAACUUUUUAUUGAGUCUUACUUGGUCAUGUUGAUGCUAUAGAACAUUAUAAUGCUGUUAAAUGGUAUACAGUAUGUCCCUUAAGUUAUUUUUGUAAGUUUCAAACAUUAAAUACCUACUAAAAAAUUGAAUUAAAUUUGAGUACAAAGGUGAUCACAUUGACACAUACUGUAUUUUUAAUUUAAAUUAUUUGCGAAUAUCCAUGACCAGCAAAUUCAAAUUCAAAUAUAUUUUAUUGCUAAUCAAAGCGCCCACAAGGAGCAGAACAAUCAACAUUAAUUACAUACAAAUGAUUACAAGUGAUUCAAUAUGAUUAA